AAGUACAUGUACUAAAGAGAUGAGUAUAUGGAAUUGGCUUACACUCGCCACAAGCUACAAAAAGUUCACAUCAAUACAUUAGCUUGUUGAAUCACCAUGUAGAAGAGUAUGGUCUGACUAUGAACGAAAACAACAGAUAAAAGAAUGACGUCCAUCCUUGCUAUCCCAAGCUGCCGACCUGGAACCCAUCCUGGAUCGAUAAAGAAGAAGAAGAAACUCCAAAUAGAACAAUCACCGCGCUCAUGUCAAAGUAUUGCUUUAACUGUACCUACAACUGGUGUUGUAGUAAUCUGUGAGCCACAGGGACUCAUAAAUCUCAUUUUCAAAGGUAUCAAGACUAGCAAUGCAGCAAGCGACUAAGCAUUUAUUUGAGUGGCCAACUCACGAGUAAAAGAAUAAAAGAGGAGGAUGAUCUACGCAUAGUGGACGUGAACUACUGAUAAUCAGAUGAACGAUCCUAAACACCUACUUACGUCAGACAUAACCCCACCGUGUCCUCUUCCGGAUACAAAACUCAAGAGAAGAGACAAUCACGGUUAUGCACACAGUUGGCAUAUUUUAAUUAAGUUUACGUCAAGUUAUCUAGAACCGCAUCUUAAGCAAAGUUUCCAAGUUUGCCACAUAACCGCAUGCACAGCUUUUCGAAAGAUUCAACCCUGAAGGGGUGCUCCAACUAGUCCAUCACAAACUACCACAAGCUGCAUAGAAAACCUCGACCACGAAUCUCGUGAUCUCCUCGUAUUCCUUAGUAGAAAACCUCAACUCUGAGAUAGCUCAAAGCAUCACCGGAAUC
rnacentral:lncRNA from 1 species